rnacentral:rRNA from 1 species
GAUGAACGCUGGCGGCGUGCCUAAUACAUGCAAGUCGAGCGAAGCGGGGAGGGGGGAGUAAGAGGUGGAUAAACUCCUAUACGACUGGGAUAACUUCGGGAAACCGGAGCAAAAGCGGCUACUUAGGGAUGGCUCUGCGCUGCAUUAGCUAGUUGGUAAGGUAACGGCUCACCAAGGCAACGAUGCAUAGCCGACCUGAGAGGGUGAUCGGCCACACUGGAACUGAGACACGGUCCAGACUCCUACGGGAGGCAGCAGUAGGGAAUCUUCCGCAAUGGGCGAAAGCCUGACCGAGCAACGCCGCGUGAGUGAAGAAGGUCUUCGGAUCGUAAAACUCUGUUAUUAGGGAAGCGGUACCUAAUCAGAAAGCCCCGGCUAACUACGUGCCAGCAGCCGCGGUAAUAC